GACGAACGCUGGCGGCGUGCCUAAUACAUGCAAGUUGAGCGCUGAAGGUUGGUACUUGUACCAACUGGAUGAGCAGCGAACGGGUGAGUAACGCGUGGGGAAUCUGCCUUUGAGCGGGGGACAACAUUUGGAAACGAAUGCUAAUACCGCAUAAAAACUUUAAACACAAGUUUUAAGUUUGAAAGAUGCAAUUGCAUCACUCAAAGAUGAUCCCGCGUUGUAUUAGCUAGUUGGUGAGGUAAAGGCUCACCAAGGCGAUGAUACAUAGCCGACCUGAGAGGGUGAUCGGCCACAUUGGGACUGAGACACGGCCCAAACUCCUACGGGAGGCAGCAGUAGGGAAUCUUCGGCAAUGGACGAAAGUCUGACCGAGCAACGCCGCGUGAAUGAAGAAGGUCUUCGGAUCGUAAAGCUCUGUUGGUAGGGAAGAACGUUGGAGAGAGUGGAAAGCUCAUCAAGGGACGGAAACGAACCAGAAAGGGACGGCGACCUACGG
rnacentral:rRNA from 1 species